CUUGCUAGUCAUCCUUAUUAGAUUCCUGUAAAAUAAAAAAAUUAGAUAAAUAAAAUAUCGGGUUAUCUUCUAACAAGCAUUAAUUUAAGAUCUUCAGCCAGAUCAAGCCAAAGUUUAUGGUGGUUCAUAGAUUGGUUCAACUAGGUCCACAGCUUUGAUUUACUCUCCAUCCCUUAUACCAUCCACAUAAUGCUUCAAUCUCUGCCCAUUAACUUUAAAAGUAUUUUUCUACUUUGGAUCUUUAAGUUCUAUGGCUCCGUAGGGAAAAACUUGGGUCA
rnacentral:lncRNA from 1 species